rnacentral:rRNA from 1 species
AGGCCUAACACAUGCAAGUCGAGCGGUAGCACAGAGAAGCUUGCUUCUGGGUGACGAGCGGCGGACGGGUGAGUAACGCGUGGGAAUCUACCUGGUAGUGGGGGACAACAGUCGGAAACGACUGCUAAUACCGCAUACGCCCUUCGGGGGAAAGUGGGGGAUCUUCGGACCUCACGCUAUCAGAUGAGCCCGCGUCGGAUUAGCUUGUUGGUGAGGUAAAGGCUCACCAAGGCGAUGAUCCGUAGCUGGUCUGAGAGGAUGACCAGCCACACUGGGACUGAGACACGGCCCAGACUCCUACGGGAGGCAGCAGUGGGGAAUAGUGGACAAUGGGGGCAACCC